GCUUAAGCACAAACAAAGAUAAAAUAUCCGCCAGAAAAUUACGGGCGAAAGCCUAAAACUCAAAAGACUUGACGGUGUCCCACCUGCCUAGAGGAGCCUGUUCCAUAAUCGACAACCCACGAUAAACCCAACCCCCCUUAGAUAUUAUCAGCCUAUAUACCGCCGUCGUCAGCUUACCUUUUAAAAGUUAUUAAGUAAGCCAAAUAGUAUGACACUAGUAAGUCAGGUCAAGGUGUAGCUUAUAGGGCGGAGGAAAUGGGCUACAUUUUUUAACUUAAACCAAACGGAUUUUGCCCUGAACCUAAAGGAGAUGAAGGCGGAUUUAGCAGUAAUUUAAACAAGAAUAUUUAAAUUAAACCCGCCCUGGGACAUGUACACA
rnacentral:rRNA from 1 species